GAUGCCCAGUGCAGCAGUGCAACUAAAAAGCUGCUCACGGGGCAAUUUGGCAACAAGNCAGGGUUUUACACAACUUCCAAUUCACGCCAACGUCGUCAACUACAACCUCCACAAUGCCUCGGGACGCCAACUUGCUUCGCCCUACGUCAUCACGUCCCAGGCUUUGAAAAAAACAACAGAAAAUUCCCGCCAAAUAAUUCCCAGCGAGAAGGAAGAGGAAGGUCGUUGUGCUUUUUGCAAGGGCAUGAUGGAGACACUGAAUCCGUCCAUCUCACUCCAAGCGCGAACGAAGCAGGAGCAACUGGUCCCACGUUCCUGGCGGGUGGGGCGAGGCGAGCGGAGGUUGCGAGAGGGGAUUUCUGCUCGCCAUAUAGGAAUCUCCCCGGGCGUGGGGACACACGCAUCAGCCCAAAUCAGAGGAAAUUCUCCUGCAGCUCCCUUCCAAGUUCCAACCACCGCUCGGUCGGAUUUUAUUUGCACAGAACUGGGAGGGGGGGGCCGAAACUAAGCCUACCCCACCCCCAAGUUCUUCUGGUCUUUAGCAGCCAGUCCUCCUUAUCCAGUCCAGCUCCAGCCACUUUCAAAACUCUGCGCCGCCUAAUGGCUCCGAUCACCAUUGCACAACCAUCUGGCACGAGAAAAACGGAGGGGGAGGGGGAGGCCCCCUCCCCCCCAUCACGCACCACGAACAAAAGGGCGAAAUCUUCCCUGCACUGCAAGCGCAAAACCGUGCGCCGGCCGAGCUUCCCUGCCUGCCUGCGGGCCCGGCGCCCGAGACGGGCUUUGCGGCGGCGGCGGGCGGCCCGGGCAACGGCGGCCGCGUUUGCUCGCCAGGCGCAAGGAGCAGCGGGCGGGCGAGCGAGCGGUUCUCCCCCGCGCCAGUGCGCGCCGCCUGCCCUCCCUGCCGCCUGGCGAUCGCUGCCGCCGCCAUGGCGCACCAGCCAGCCAGGUAGCCGGCCGAUCCAGCCCGGCGAGNUCGGGCAGGCGAAGCCCCCGAACGCCGCCGCAACCACCCCGUCCGCGAUCGACGCCUCGCCGCGCGAGUAG
rnacentral:lncRNA from 1 species